GACGAACGCUGGCGGCGUGCUUAAUACAUGCAAGUAGAACGCACAGUUUAUACCGUAGCUUGCUACACCAUAGACUGUGAGUUGCGAACGGGUGAGUAACGCGUAGGUAACCUGCCUGGUAGCGGGGGAUAACUAUUGGAAACGAUAGCUAAUACCGCAUAAUAUUGAUUAUCGCAUGAUAAUUGAUUGAAAGAUGCUAUUGCAUCACUACCAGAUGGACCUGCGUUGUAUUAGCUAGUAGGUGAGGUAACGGCUCACCUAGGCGACGAUACAUAGCCGACCUGAGAGGGUGAUCGGCCACACUGGGACUGAGACACGGCCCAGACUCCUACGGGAGGCAGCAGUAGGGAAUCUUCGGCAAUGGACGAAAGUCUGACCGAGCAACGCCGCGUGAGUGAAGAAGGUUUUCGGAUCGUAAAGCUCUGUUGUAAGAGAAGAACGGGUGUGAGAGUGGAAAGUUCACACUGUGACGGUAUCUUACCAGAAAGGGACGGCUAACUACGUG
rnacentral:rRNA from 1 species